rnacentral:rRNA from 1 species
AAUCAACGCUGGCGGCGUGCCUAACACAUGCAAAUCGAACGCGAAAGGGUCCUUCGGGGCUCGAGUAGAGUGGCGGACGGGUGAGUAACACGUGGGUGACCUGCCUUCCAGAGGGGGAUAACUCCGGGAAACUGGAGCUAAGACCGCAUGAGCUCUCGGGAGCGACCCUGAGAGGAAAUGUUGAAAGACAGCUGGAAGAGGGGCCCGCGCCCGAUUAGCUGGUUGGCGGGGUAAGAGCCCACCAAGGCGACGAUCGGUAGCCGGUCUGAGAGGACGGACGGCCACACUGGAACUGAGACACGGUCCAGACUCCUACGGGAGGCAGCAGUGGGGAAUUUUGCGCAAUGGGGGAAACCCUGACGCAGCAACGCCGCGUGGAGGAUGAAGGUUUUCGGAUCGUAAACUCCUGUCCCCGGGGAAAAAACAAAUGAUGGUACCCGGGGAGGAAGCCCCGGCUAACUCCGUGCCAGCAGCCGCGGUAAUACGGGGGGGGCAAGCGU